rnacentral:rRNA from 1 species
CCUACGGGAGGCAGCAGUAGGGAAUCUUUCACAAUGGGCGAAAGCCUGAUGGAGCAACGCCGCGUGCAGGAUGAAGGCCUUCGGGUUGUAAACUGCUUUUAUAAGCGAGAAAUAUGAUGGUAACUUAUGAAUAAGGAUCGGCUAACUCCGUGCCAGCAGCCGCGGUAAUACGGAGGAUGCGAGCGUUAUCCGGAUUUAUUGGGUUUAAAGGGUGCGCAGGCGGAAGAUCAAGUCAGCGGUAAAAUUGAGAGGCUCAACCUCUUCGAGCCGUUGAAACUGGUUUUCUUGAGUGAGCGAGAAGUAUGCGGAAUGCGUGGUGUAGCGGUGAAAUGCAUAGAUAUCACGCAGAACUCCGAUUGCGAAGGCAGCAUACCGGCGCUCAACUGACGCUCAUGCACGAAAGUGUGGGUAUCGAACAGGAUUAGAUACCCGGGUAGUC